rnacentral:rRNA from 1 species
GACGAACGCUGGCGGCGUGCUUAACACAUGCAAGUCGAACGGAAAGGCCCUGCUUUUGUGGGGUGCUCGAGUGGCGAACGGGUGAGUAACACGUGAGUAACCUGCCCUUGACUUUGGGAUAACUUCAGGAAACUGGGGCUAAUACCGGAUAGGAGCUCCUGCUGCAUGGCGGGGGUUGGAAAGUUUCGGCGGUUGGGGAUGGACUCGCGGCUUAUCAGCUUGUUGGUGGGGUAGUGGCUUACCAAGGCUUUGACGGGUAGCCGGCCUGAGAGGGUGACCGGCCACAUUGGGACUGAGAUACGGCCCAGACUCCUACGGGAGGCAGCAGUGGGGAAUAUUGCACAAUGGGCGAAAGCCUGAUGCAGCAACGCCGCGUGCGGGAUGACGGCCUUCGGGUUGUAAACCGCUUUCGCCUGUGACGAAGCGUGAGUGACGGUAAUGGGUAAAGAAGCACCGGCUAACUACGUG